UUCCAGACAAGUUGCGUAAGCGAUUGAAACGGCAUCCUUUUUUGAGGAACGAUAAAAAGAUAUAGUGGAAAGCGCGACCUUUA
rnacentral:sRNA from 1 species